AGAGUUUGAUCCUGGCUCAGAACGAACGCUGGCGGCAGGCCUAACACAUGCAAGUCGAGCGCUACCUUCGGGUGGAGCGGCGGACGGGUUAGUAACGCGUGGGAACAUACCCCUUUCUACGGAAUAGCCUUUGGAAACGAAGAGUAAUACCGUAUACGCCCUUUGGGGGAAAGAUUUAUCGGAGAAGGAUCGGCCCGCGUUAGAUUAGAUAGUUGGUGGGGUAAUGGCCUACCAAGUCUACGAUCUAUAGCUGGUUUUAGAGGAUGAUCAGCAACACUGGGACUGAGACACGGCCCAGACUCCUACGGGAGGCAGCAGUGGGGAAUCUUAGACAAUGGGCGCAAGCCUGAUCUAGCCAUGCCGCGUGAGUGAAGAAGGCCUUAGGGUCGUAAAGCUCUUUCGCCUGUGAUGAUAAUGACAGUAGCAGGUAAAGAAACCCCGGCUAACUCCGUGCCAGCAGCCGCGGUAAUACGGAGGGGGUUAGCGUUGUUCGGAAUUACUGGGCGUAAAGCGCACGUAGGCGGAUUGGAAAGUUAGAGGUGAAAUCCCAGGGCUCAACCCUGGAACUGCCUUUAAAACUCCCAGUCUUGAGUUCGAGAGAGGUGAGUGGAAUUCCAAGUGUAGAGGUGAAAUUCGUAGAUAUUUGGAGGAACACCAGUGGCGAAGGCGGCUCACUGGCUCGAUACUGACGCUGAGGUGCGAAAGUGUGGGGAGCAAACAGGAUUAG
rnacentral:rRNA from 1 species